CAAAGCCGCGAGGUGGAGCGAAUCUCCAAAAAUUGUCCCAGUUCAGAUUGCAGGCUGCAACUCGCCUGCAUGAAGUCGGAAUUGCUAGUAAUCGUGGAUCAGCAUGCCACGGUGAAUACGUUCCCGGGCCUUGUACACACCGCCCGUCACACCAUGGGAGUCGGUAACACCCGAAGCCUGUAGUCUAACCGCAAGGAGGACGCAGUCGAAGGUGGGAUUGAUGACUGGGGUGAAGUCGUAACAAGGUAAC
rnacentral:rRNA from 1 species